GACGAACGCUGGCGGCGUGCCUAAUACAUGCAAGUCGAACGCAGUGGCGCACGGGUGAGUAAUAUAUAGUUAAUCUGCCCUACACAGAGGAACAACAGUUGGACACGACUGCUAAUACCUCAUAGUGUAGGAUGGGACUAUAUCGUAUCAGCUAGUUGGUAAGGUAAUGGCUUACCAAGGCUAUGACGCGUAACUGGUCUGAGAGGAUGAUCAGUCAAAUUGGAACGGAGACACGGUCCAAACACCUACGGGAGGGAGCAGUAAGGAAUAGUGCGAAAUGGGGGUAACCCUGACAGAGCAACGCAGCGUGGAGGAUGACAGUUUUCGGAGAGUAAACGCCUUUUAUCAGGAAAGCGGUACCUGAUGAAUAAGCACCGGCUAACUCCGUGCCAGCAGCCGCGGUAAUAC
rnacentral:rRNA from 1 species